GGCGGCACGCCUAACACAUGCAAGUCGAGCGCAGUCCUUCGGGACCGAGCGGCGGACGGGUUAGUAACGCGUGGGAACAUACCCAUCUCUAAGGAAUAGCCUCUGGAAACGGAGAGUAAUACCUUAUACGCCCUUCGGGGGAAAGAUUUAUCGGAGAUGGAUUGGCCCGCGUUAGAUUAGAUAGUUGGUGGGGUAACGGCCUACCAAGUCUACGAUCUAUAGCUGGUUUGAGAGGAUGAUCAGCAACACUGGGACUGAGACACGGCCCAGACUCCUACGGGAGGCAGCAGUGGGGAAUCUUAGACAAUGGGCGAAAGCCUGAUCUAGCGAUGCCGCGUGUGUGACGAAGGCCUUAGGGUCGUAAAGCA
rnacentral:rRNA from 1 species